rnacentral:rRNA from 1 species
UACGUAGGGUGCGAGCGUUAAUCGGAAUUACUGGGCGUAAAGCGUGCGCAGGCGGUUCGUUGUGUCGGCGGUGAAAUCCCCGGGCUCAACCUGGGAAUGGCCGUUGAAACUGGCGAACUGGAGUGUGGCAGAGGGGGGUGGAAUUCCGCGUGUAGCAGUGAAAUGCGUAGAGAUGCGGAGGAACACCGACGGCGAAGGCAGCCCCCUGGGCUGACACUGACGCUCAGGCACGAAAGCGUGGGGAGCAAACAGG